UACGGGGGGGGCAAGCGUUGUUCGGAAUUACUGGGCGUAAAGGGCUCGUAGGCGGCCAACUAAGUCAGACGUGAAAUCCCUCGGCUUAACCGGGGAACUGCGUCUGAUACUGGAUGGCUAGAGAUUGGGAGAGGGAUGCGGAAUUCCAGGUGGAGCGGUGAAAUGCGUAGAUAUCGUUUGGAACGCCAAAGGUGAAAACAGACAGCUGGGAGUGUGCUGACGCUGAGACACGAAAGCCAGGGGAGCGAACAGG
rnacentral:rRNA from 1 species